GGAGGCGUGAAUCUCAUCUGCAAGAAGAUGAAUCCACUGUGGUUCUUCCUCUUUCUGCUGUCAGCUCCCAGAGGUGUCCUGUCCCAGGUGCAGCUGCAGGAGUCGGGGCCCAGCCUGGUGAAGCCCUCGCAGACCCUCUCCCUCACCUGCACGGUCUCCGGAUUCUCAAUAACCAGCUAUGCUGCAGGCUGGGUCCGCCAGGCUCCAGGAAAGGGGCUGGAGUGGCUUGGUUCUAUAUUGAGUUUGAUGGAGUAUGAAGAAAGCACAAUCUAUAACCCAGCCCUGAAGUCCCGGCUCAGCAUCACCAGGGACACCUCCAAGAGCCAAGUCUCCAUGUCACUGAGCAGCGUGACCCCCGAGGACACGGCCGUGUAUCACUGUGCAAGAGGCACAGUGAUAUGA